ensembl:snRNA U6 U6 spliceosomal RNA
GUGCUCACUUCGGCAGCACAUAUACUAAAAUUGGAGUGAUACAGAGAAGAUUAGCAUGUCUAAUACUAAGGAUAACAUGUCCAAAACUAAAUUCCUGACGCAUAUGUUU